UACGAAGGGGGCUAGCGUUGCUCGGAAUCACUGGGCGUAAAGCGCACGUAGGCGGCUUGUUAAGUCAGGGGUGAAAUCCUGGAGCUCAACUUCAGAACUGCCUUUGAUACUGGCGAUCUUGAGUUCGGGAGAGGUGAGUGGAACUGCGAGUGUAGAGGUGAAAUUCGUAGAUAUUCGCAAGAACACCAGUGGCGAAGGCGGCUCACUGGCCCGAUACUGACGCUGAGGAGCGAAAGCGUGGGGAGCGAACAGG
rnacentral:rRNA from 1 species